GAUGAACGCUAGCGGCAGGCCUAACACAUGCAAGUCGAGGGGUAGAAGCAGCUUGCUGCUUUGAGACCGGCGCACGGGUGCGUAACGCGUAUGCAAUCUACCUUUUACUAGGAAUAGCCCAGAGAAAUUUGGAUUAAUGCCUUAUGGUAUAUUUGAAUGGCAUCAUUUAAAUAUUAAAGAUUUAUUGGUAAAAGAUGAGCAUGCGUCCCAUUAGUUAGUUGGUAAGGUAACGGCUUACCAAGACGAUGAUGGGUAGGGGUCCUGAGAGGGAGAUCCCCCACACUGGUACUGAGACACGGACCAGACUCCUACGGGAGGCAGCAGUGAGGAAUAUUGGUCAAUGGAGGCAACUCUGAACCAGCCAUGCCGCGUGCAGGAUGACGGUCCUAUGGAUUGUAAACUGCUUUUGUACAGGAAGAAAAAGAGUUACGUGUAGCUUAUUGACGGUACUGUAAGAAUAAGGAUCGGCUAACUCCGUGCCAGCCGCCGCGGUAA
rnacentral:rRNA from 1 species